AAUCCCGAAGCCUUGCUUGGGAGAGUAAAGUGGCGCACGGGUGAGUAACGCGUGGGUAACCCACCUUCGAAUCUGGGAUAACUCCGCGAAAGCGGUGCUAAUACCGGAUAAGACCACAGCCGCUCUGGCGGCAGAGGUUAAAGCUGACCUCUCCAUGGAAGUUAGCGUUCGAGGACGGGCCCGCGUCCUAUCAGCUUGUUGGUGGGGUAAUGGCCUACCAAGGCAGCGACGGGUAGCUGGUCUGAGAGGAUGAUCAGCCACACUGGAACUGGAACACGGUCCAGACUCCUACGGGAGGCAGCAGUGAGGAAUUUUGCGCAAUGGGGGAAACCCUGACGCAGCAACGCCGCGUGGGUGAAGAAGGCUUUCGGGUCGUAAAGCCCUGUCAGGUGGGAAGAAACUCUUCAGUACUAAUAAUGCUGAAGCCUGACGGUACCACCAGAGGAAGCACCGGCCAACUCCGUGCCAGCAGCCGCGGUAAUACGGAGGGUGCAAGCGUUGUUCGGAAUCAUUGGGCGUAAAGAGCGUGUAGGCGGCUUGGUAAGUCAGAUGUGAAAGCCCUGGGCUCAACCCAGGAAGUGCAUUUGAAACUACCAGACUUGAGUACGG
rnacentral:rRNA from 1 species